rfam:Ipomoea nil DNA, scaffold: scaffold2036, cultivar: Tokyo-kokei standard.
AUACUUACCUGGACGGGGUCUAUGGGUGAUCAUGAAGACCCAUGGCCUAGAUCAAUGGCUUUCAUUGCACUUUGAAAGGGCAUUGGUUUAAGGUCUGCUCAAGUAGUGGAGCCUACGUCAUAAUUUGUGACAGUGGGGGCAUGCGUUCGCGCGGUCCCUAC